UCAGGUGUCAGGUGUGGGCACCAGGGUCAGGUGUCAGGUGUGGGCAGCGGUGUUAAGGGUCAGAUGUAGAUGCUGGGCUCAGGUGUGGGCACUAGGGUCCAGAGCAGAUGCUACGGUCAGGUAUGGGCACCAGUUCAGGCAUGGUGUGGGACACGCAGGGUCUGGAUGGCUGGGGCACCGGGAGUAUGGCAGCUCCUGGGCAUGAGGUAGGGGAAGGACUGUGGGAGUGGGUGCCUGUCGGGCCCACUGCAGCUUUCUCCUGUGGGCUCAGCACAGAUCUUGGAAUGAUGACAGGAGCGUCCCAGAGGCCCCAGGCGGCCCAGCAGGGGCUCUGUGAGUGGUGGCGUAUGGGGCGUGGGCGGAGGGCACGCCCUGGGCUUUACACGCAGGCCACGGUGUCCGGGCGUGUGGGUCGUCCGGCUCCUCACCAGCCCUCUCGACACAUGGCUGGCGCCUCUCCUUGCCACGGUCUCAUUUAGUGGAGCAGCGGGGGAGACCUCGUGAGUCCGAAAGCGUUUGUAUUCCGCUGUCCGUGGGACCAGCUUCCUUCAGGCUCUGGAGGUGCUGCUGGUUGCCUUCCGGCCCAGCGUUGCCGCGAGACAGGUGGCUUGGCUCGGACUCGCUUCCUCUCUGCCCCGCGCGCUCUGGGGUUUCUGGGUGACAGACCCGGUGUGUCUGUUUUGCCAAUGGUGCCGAGUGUGGGGCUCUGUCAGGUGGUUUCCUGGAUUACGGGGUGGGGGGUCAGGUAGUGCGUGCACAUUCCCCGGCCCUCGCCGCCCCAGUGCCCGUGGCCUCUGUGACUCCAGCCAUCCCGAAAUUGGGCCUCCUCCUGGGCCUGGGAUUUCCUCCUUGCCCCACUUCAGGGCUGGAGCCCUCUCUCCGGGGACGUUGGUAGUGGACUUGGGUUUGGGGGUGUUUCUUGCCCCUGCGCUGCUUGCUCCUCCAGACUGUGUCCUCCCUGGUUCCAGCCUCACCUGUCUUCCCUGUUAGAGGCCACGGGCGUUCUGUGACACUUCAUGUUGGCCGGGUUUUGGGCCCGAGGGCUCUGUCUUGUGGGUGUGGCCCUUUGGCCUGAGCUUUCUGGGGGGGCUGGGUCUACCUGGGUCUUCUGCGUGCUGGGAGCCCCCAUGUCCCCAUCUCUCUGAGUUUGCUUUGGGGUCAGGUUCCAUGGAGAACACAUCCAGUCCCCGCCUGGGCAGGCUGGGAGCUGACUCAGGGCCGGGGCUCUGUGCUCAGGGUGCAGAUGUUCGCUUGGCCUCUGUUUGCACGUGUUGUCCCCUUCCCCAGGCUGAGACCCUCCAGCUGUCCCGAAUCACCCCUACUCUUGUGAAGGUUGGGAGGGGCGCUUGCCCAGAAGUGGGGGAGGGGGUCGGUCUAGGGAUCCUGUUGUUUCUCAGCCGGCUUCCUUAUUACAGCUCCCUCACCCACACACUCUGACACGCUCAGCACCCCUGCACACACACACACACCUGCUUGUGCACACCCCACGUGUGGUGUGGACAUUCCACGCCCUGCAGGCCUCUCCCUCAGCUGGCUGAGGACGGCACUCGGGUUUGCCACGUGGGCCCCAUGGGGCUUCUGGGGCGUCUGUAUUUCUCUCCACAGCCAGAGCCCUGGUUGGACAAGCGCUCGUGGGUGCUGGGCUUCAGGCGCCUGCAGGCAGUGGGGGGCCUCCCUGGUCUCCUGCUGAGCCCUGGCCUUCGGGACGGCCGGGCCCCCGUGGGCCCCCGUGGGCCCCCGUGGGCAGGGUGUGAUCUGGCUGAGCAGAGACGCUAUGAGCUCCCACACGAGGCUGGGGCUGUGCUCUCCAGGAGCGCAGAUCGGUGUGCUGUGGUUGGGAGAUGGCCUGAUGCCUCAGCCAGUGCACACGUGGUGGCCGGGCCCCGGAUGGCCGCUGAAGGGAAUUUGGGGUGGUUCACAGGCACGUUUUUAGUUUCCCUUCAGUCUCAUCUGCUUAGCUGGAGCUGGUACGUUGGCUUGGGGUGGUGGAGGCACGGGGCGCCUGCUCGUACCCCGCAGGAGGCCAGGGCCUGGCUCUGGGGCUGCAGCGUCCCCCCAGAUGGCACACAAGUUGAAGGACCUUGUAACAUCUAGAGCCCCUGAUUUAGGACUCUGAGUCUUGACCUUCGAUAUUUGAAAGAAGAUAUUUUGCAUUCAUGUGCUUUGAUGCAGGUGACCUGAAACCAGAGUGACGGCAGCAGCGGCAGGACUGUCCGGGGAGAGGGUCACGCGUGGCAGCGUGGCCCGGGCCACUCCGAGUGGGCCUCACAGCCUGGCUUCCUGUCAUCCCCAGCAUUGUGUGGUGGCUCACCCCUGACCGAGGUGGCGGGCGACACCCCUUUUGGGGCCACGUGGCUGAUGCUCAGAGUGCAGACUUUAAAAAAUUCAAAAAGCCUUUGUUCCCUUGAUUAUGAAGACGAAGAGGAGGAUGACACCCAAGUGAAGCUGGCCCCGUAUGCCCCACACGGCCCCACGGGCACCGUCACGCCCGGCUCCAGCCCGCUGAGCAUGUGCCCCAGACCCUGCCGCACCGGCCCCGGCCCGUGGGCCUCCUGGGAGCCCAUGGCCGCUGAGGGUGAGGGCGGGAGUGGCAGCGACCCCAGUGACUGGGAGAGCGCUGGGGAGGAGGGGGCCUUCCCUCCCGGCCGCGGCGAGCUGGACCUGGGGCAGAUCGAGAGCAACUGACCCCCAGCAGGGGGUCGGGGGCCCGGGGCCCCUGCCCCCAGUUUCUUCCCGGCGCACGGACAGGAGCUGGGCUACGCAGAACUUUGAACAUCAGGUGUAAUUUUGAUCCAAUCUUUCCUAAAGAAGUGUUUUGGAUUUUUGUGGCUUUUACAGUUCUGGAGAAAGCUGCUGUAUUUUGAACGAAUUUUCGGAAGGGCGUUCUACGGAACGGGAGCCUGCGGGCCAAUCCCACCGCAGGUGUGUGUUCCUUUUCUGAAACCCCUGCUGUGCAGGGCGCGGGGGUCCGUGAGUGCUGAGCAGCCGGCCUGCCGCUGCCCGUCUCCUUCGGAGCGCCAGGCGGUGGGUACCUGUGCUCAGGAGCUCUGGGAUGCUGGUCCUGGCGGCACCUGGUCUGACCUCAAUAAAAGGCGUUUGCUUCCCCG